AGGUUUAUUGCCUGGCUAUAGACAGCCCGAGAAAGAAAGUUAGCUUCCCACCCCCGGCAGCUGCAGUGAUUGGAAAACGAGCCUGAGCCUUUUCACCGAAAAGAAUAUAUCAUUAUCCGUUGGGUUCGCCCUACUUCCCUGUUAAGAAUCACCUGAAGUGCCUAAAAAUCCGCGAGUUUCAGGGCUUUUCCCUGGAAAUAAUGAUUUAGAACGUCCUGGGGGAGGGCCUAGGAGUCUGUGGGUUUAAUAAGCACCUCCAGGAUUUGUGUCUUCGGACAUGAUUCGUGCUUGUGGACAAAACUGACCUCGGAGCUGAGUCAAGCAUUGAAAAAUCCUGGAACUUUCAAUAUUUAUGUAGCCAAAGUGUCUCUCUUGCUCACUCACUUGCUUGCUUGUGUACCACUAAUUGAGCAACUACUAUGGGCCAGAUGCUCUGGAAAAUGUUGUUCUGAAGAGGAGUACUAAUCUUCACCAGUGGUGCACCUAGCUGUAUUUUGCACAUUAGGAAACAGACCCAGAGGCACACCUCCCAGAUGCAUCUUCCUCAUGGGGUUGUCGCAGGGUUUAAGAAAAUGAACUCAUAUAAAGGGCUCAGAAUAGUGUCUGGAUCACAGAACUCUGAAGAAUUUAUGUCAGUGAUUCUGAAGUGAGAAUGGAACAUGGAUCCAACCCCUCUAAGGCAGAAGAGAUGUGAGCAGAUUACCUUCUCUGUCCUUAAAAGGAGUGGCCCUGCAUUCCCUGAGAGGGCAUAGCUGGGGCAGUCAUCUGGACCCACCAGACAGGAGCUGAAGCUUGAUAAAAGGUGCCUGGUUCCAGUGACUAUGGAGCAGCCUGCCAGCACUAGAGGAGUCACAGAGAUGUCUAGAUGAGUCACAGAGACAUUUACAUGACAGAAAAAUAAACAACUAUGUUGUUUAAGCCAUUAUUAGUCAGUCUUUCA
rnacentral:lncRNA from 1 species